rnacentral:rRNA from 1 species
UGUGUAGGCGGUUCUUUAAGUUUGGUGUGAAAUCUCCCGGCUCAACCGGGGGGGCGCGCCGAAUACUGAGGGACUAGAGUGUGGGAGAGGAAAGUGGAAUUCCUGGUGUAGCGGUGAAAUGCGUAGAUAUCAGGAGGAACACCGGUGGUGUAGACGGCUUUCUGGACCAUAACUGACGCUGAGACACGAAAGCGUGGGUAGCAAAACA